rnacentral:rRNA from 1 species
CAGCCGCCACGGGAAUACGUAGGGUGCGAGCGUUAAUCGGAAUUACUGGGCGUAAAGCGUGCGCAGGCGGUUUUGUAAGACAGGUGUGAAAUCCCCGGGCUUAACCUGGGAACUGCGCUUGUGACUGCACAGCUAGAGUAUGGCAGAGGGGGUGGAAUUCCACGUGUAGCAGUGAAAUGCGUAGAGAUGUGGAGGAACACCGAUGGCGAAGGCAGCCCCCUGGGCCAAUACUGACGCUCAUGCACGAAAGCGUGGGGAGCAAACAGGAUUAGAUACCCCAGUAGUCCCUGUCUCUUAUACA